rnacentral:rRNA from 1 species
UACGUAGGGGGCAAGCGUUGUCCGGAUUUAUUGGGCGUAAAGAGCGUGUAGGCAGCUGGGUAGGUCCGUUGUGAAAACUCGAGGCUCAACCUCGAGACGCCGAUGGAAACGCUCCAGCUAGAGUCCGGAAGAGGAGAGUGGAAUUCCUGGUGUAGCGGUGAAAUGCGCAGAUAUCAGGAAGAACACCCGUGGCUAAGGCGGCUCUCUAGUACGGUACUGACGCUGAGACGCGAAAGCGUGGGGAGCGAACAGG